UACGGGGGGGGCAAGCGUUGUUCGGAAUUACUGGGUGUAAAGGGCUCGUAGGCGGCCAACUAAGUCAGACGUGAAAUCCCUCGGCUUAACCGGGGAACUGCGUCUGAUACUGGAUGGCUUGAAUCCGGGAGAGGGAUGCGGAAUUCCAGGUGUAGCGGUGAAAUGCGUAGAUAUCUGGAGGAACACCGGUGGCGAAGGCGGCAUCCUGGACCGGUAUUGACGCUGAGGCGCGAAAGCCAGGGGAGCAAACGGG
rnacentral:rRNA from 1 species